rnacentral:rRNA from 1 species
UACAGAGGGUGCGAGCGUUACUCGGAAUUACUGGGCGUAAAGCGCGCGUAGGCGGCUUUGCAAGUCGGAUGUGAAAUCCCCAGGCUUAACCUGGGAACUGCAUUCGAGACUGCAUUGCUAGAGUAUGGGAGAGGGAAGUGGAAUUUCCGGUGUAGCGGUGAAAUGCGUAGAUAUCGGAAGGAACAUCAGUGGCGAAAGCGACUUCCUGGACCAAUACUGACGCUCAUGUGCGAAAGCGUGGGGAGCAAACAGG